rnacentral:rRNA from 1 species
GACGAACGCUGGCGGCGUGCUUAACACAUGCAAGUCGAACGGAAAGGCCCUGCUUUUGUGGGGUGCUCGAGUGGCGAACGGGUGAGUAACACGUGAGUAACCUGCCCUUGACUUUGGGAUAACUUCAGGAAACUGGGGCUAAUACCGGAUAGGAGCUCCUGCUGCAUGGUGGGGGUUGGAAAGUUUCGGCGGUUGGGGAUGGACUCGCGGCUUAUCAGCUUGUUGGUGGGGUAGUGGCUUACCAAGGCUUUGACGGGUAGCCGGCCUGAGAGGGUGACCGGCCACAUUGGGACUGAGAUACGGCCCAGACUCCUACGGGAGGCAGCAGUGGGGAAUAUUGCACAAUGGGCGGAAGCCUGAUGCAGCAACGCCGCGUGCGGGAUGACGGCCUUCGGGUUGUAAACCGCUUUCGCCUGUGACGAAGCGUGAAUGACGGUAAUGGGUAAAGAAGCACCGGCUAACUACGUGCCAGCAGCCGCGGUGAUACGUAGGGUGCGAGCGUUGUCCGGAUUUAUUGGGCGUAAAGGGCUCGUAGGUGGUUGAUCGCGUCGGAAGUGUAAUCUUGGGGCUUAACCCUGAGCGUGCUUUCGAUACGGGUUGACUUGAGGAAGGUAGGGGAGAAUGGAAUUCCUGGUGGAGCGGUGGAAUGCGCAGAUAUCAGGAGGAACACCAGUGGCGAAGGCGGUUCUCUGGGCCUUUCCUGACGCUGAGGAGCGAAAGCGUGGGGAGCGAACAGGCUUAGAUACCCUGGUAGUCCACGCUGUAAACGGUGGGUACUAGGUGUGGGGUCCAUUCCACGGGUUCCGUGCCGUAGCUAACGCUUUAAGUACCCCGCCUGGGGAGUACGGCCGCAAGGCUAAAACUCAAAGGAAUUGACGGGGCCCCGCACAAGCGGCGGAGCAUGCGGAUUAAUUCGAUGCAACGCGUAGAACCUUACCUGGGUUUGACAUGGAUCGGGAGCGCUCAGAGAUGGGUGUGCCUCUUUUGGGGUCGGUUCACAGGUGGUGCAUGGCUGUCGUCAGCUCGUGUCGUGAGAUGUUGGGUUAAGUCCCGCGACGAGCGCAACCCUUGUUCACUGUUGCCAGCACGUUAUGGUGGGGACUCAGUGGAGACCGCCGGGGUCAACUCGGAGGAAGGUGGGGAUGACGUCAAGUCAUCAUGCCCCUUAUGUCCAGGGCUUCACGCAUGCUACAAUGGCUGGUACAGAGAGUGGCGAGCCUGUGAGGGUGAGCGAAUCUCGGAAAGCCGGUCUCAGUUCGGAUUGGGGUCUGCAACUCGACCUCAUGAAGUCGGAGUCGCUAGUAAUCGCAGAUCAGCAACGCUGCGGUGAAUACGUUCCCGGG